GUGCGCCUACGGGGCGCAGCAGUGAGGAAUAUUGGUCAAUGGACGAGAGUCUGAACCAGCCACGUAGCGUGAAGGAUGACUGCCCUAUGGGUUGUAAACUUCUUUUAUAUGGGAAUAAAAUGUUCCACGUGUGGGAUUUUGUAUGUACCAUAUGAAUAAGGAUCGGCUAACUCCGUGCCAGCAGCCGCGGUAAUACGGAGGAUCCAAGCGUUAUCCGGAUUUAUUGGGUUUAAAGGGUGCGUAGGCGGAUUGAUAAGUUAGCGGUGAAAUGUCCGGGCUCAACUCGGGACCUGCCUCUAAU
rnacentral:rRNA from 1 species